UGCCUAGACCUGCUGCCACCUGAUGGA
rnacentral:piRNA from 1 species